rnacentral:rRNA from 1 species
GACGAACGCUGGCGGCGUGCUUAACACAUGCAAGUCGAACGGAAAGGCCCUUCGGGGUACUCGAGUGGCGAACGGGUGAGUAACACGUGGGUGAUCUGCCCUGCACUUUGGGAUAAGCCUGGGAAACUGGGUCUAAUACCGAAUAGGACCACGCGCUUCAUGGUGUGUGGUGGAAAGCUUUUGCGGUGUGGGAUGGGCCCGCGGCCUAUCAGCUUGUUGGUGGGGUAAUGGCCUACCAAGGCGACGACGGGUAGCCGGCCUGAGAGGGUGACCGGCCACACUGGGACUGAGAUACGGCCCAGACUCCUACGGGAGGCAGCAGUGGGGAAUAUUGCACAAUGGGCGCAAGCCUGAUGCAGCGACGCCGCGUGAGGGAUGACGGCCUUCGGGUUGUAAACCUCUUUGAAUAGGGACGAAGCGCAAGUGACGGUACCUAUAGAAGAAGCACCGGCCAACUACGUG